GGGACAUAUAGACCUGGAUAUAGGGCUGGGUAGAUCAAGGGGAAGGUGAGUGACUACAUGGGAGAUAUAGACCUGGGUGUAGGGCUGGGUAGAUCAAUGGGAAGGUGUGGGACUACAUAGGACAUAUAGACCUGGGUGUAGGGCUGGUUCAAUCAAGGUGAAGGUGUGGGACUACAUGGGACAUAUAGA